rnacentral:RNase_P_RNA from 1 species
GAGGCAGGUCGGGCAAUCGCGGUGCCAGUCAUCGAGGAAGGUCCGGACUCCACAGAGCGGGGUAGCGGCUAACGGCCGUCCAGCAAGCGGGCACAGCAAUGUGUCCGUAAGCUGAGGAACAGGGCCACAGAGACGAGUCUGCGGCGCGGGCAUGUUCACACAUGCACCGACACGGCCAUCUCCGUGUUGCGUGGUCGGGAAACCGGCUGCGGCGCGGCAGGGUGAAACGCGGCAACCUCUACCCGGAGCAACAUCAAAUAGGCAUGCGCUUGGCUUUCGGGCCAGAAGGGCGGCUCGUUCGAGCAUGCGGGUAGAUGGCUAGAGCCCGGCAGUAAUGCCGGGCCCAGAGGAAUGAUUGCCCGCCGGGUCUCCCGGCGUACAGAAUCCGGCCUAUAGACCUGUCUCACCU